UUUGACUUCUAGGAAUUCUUCAUUUCCCACCUUUACUUUGGAUUUGUAGGUAUCAUCAAGAGUCCUGAACAUCUCUGCAUCAUUGCACAAGUGAUGAGUGCAGCCGCUGUCGAUAAGCCAUGCAUCAGAGAAGUCAUUCAUUGAGAACCAAGUAACUGCAAAAAGUUGCUCCUCCUGUGCAUUAUUUUCGUCUGCCAUUUGAGCUUGAGAAGGUUUUGAGCCUCUGUUUUUGGAUUUGCAGACUUUGGAUACAUGCCCAACCUGCUUACAACUGCCACAUACAGCAUCAGGCCUCCACCAGCAAUAUUUCUCAAGAUGUGUUGUUUUUUUGCAAUGUUUGCAAGAAGGAAAUGAUUUCUUUGAACUUUCACUACUAUUUCCACCAUCGUGCUUG
rnacentral:lncRNA from 1 species